rnacentral:rRNA from 1 species
UUGGAGGGCAAGUCUGGUGCCAGCAGCCGCGGUAAUUCCAGCUCCAAUAGCGUAUAUUAAAGUUGUUGCAGUUAAAAAGCUCGUAGUUGGAUUUCGGGGUUCUACCGUUGGUCGGGCUUUGUCUGUACUGGCGUGUAGAAUUUCUACCUUCUGGGGAACCACCAUGUUAUUAAUUUAGCGUGGUGGGAAACCAGGACCUUUACCUUGAAAAAAUUAGAGUGUUCAAAGCAGGCUUAUGUCUGAAUACAUUAGCAUGGAAUAAUAGAAUAGGACGGUGGUCCUGUUUUGUUGGUUUCUGAAUCACCGUAAUGAUUAAUAGGGAUAGUUGGGGGCAUUAGUAUUCAAUUGUCAGAGGUGAAAUUCUUGGAUUUAUUGAAGACUAACUUCUGCGAAAGCAUUUGCCAAGGAUGUUUUCAUUAAUCAAGGACGAGAGUUAGGGGAUCGAAGACGAUCAGAUACCGUCGUAGUCUUAACCAUAAACUAUGCCGACUAGGGAUCGGACGAUGUUAAUUUUUCUUGACUCGUUCGGCGCCUUACGGGAAA